UUUUGAAGCCAUGAAGGCAUUGAAAGACCCCCGGAGUGGGGAGACCCUCACUCAAGUCUCGGGAUGAUGCAACACCCCAAGAACUCACACAAGACC
rnacentral:pre_miRNA from 14 species